rnacentral:rRNA from 1 species
CUCCGGUUGAUCCUGCCGGACCCGACUGCUAUCAGAGUGGGACUAAGCCAUGCGAGUCAACGCUGUAAGGCGUGGCAUACGGCUCAGUAACACGUAGUCAACAUGCCCAAGGGACGUGGAUAACCUCGGGAAACUGAGGAUAAACCGCGAUAGGCCAAGUUUUCUGGAAUGGAACAUGGCUGAAAUCUAUAUGGCCCUUGGAUUGGACUGCGGCCGAUCAGGCUGUUGGUGAGGUAAUGGCCCACCAAACCUGUAACCGGUACGGGCUUUGAGAGAAGGAGCCCGGAGAUGGGCACUGAGACAAGGGCCCAGGCCCUAUGGGGCGCAGCAGGCGCGAAACCUCUGCAAUAGGCGAAAGCUUGACAGGGUUACUCUGAGUGAUGUCCGUUAAGGGCAUCUUUUGGCACCUCUAAAAAUGGUGCAGAAUAAGGGGUGGGCAAGUCUGGUGUCAGCCGCCGCGGUAAUACCAGCACCCCGAGUGGUCGGGACGAUUAUUGGGCCUAAAGCAUCCGUAGCUGGUUCUGCAAGUCUUCCGUUAAAUCCAACCGCUUAACGGUUGACCUGCAGAGGAUACCGCGGGACUAGGAGGCGGGAGAGGCGGACGGUACUCCGCGUGUAGGGGUAAAAUCCUUUGAUCCGCGGAAGACCACCAGUGGCGAAGGCGGUCCGCCAGAACGCGCUCGACGGUGAGGGAUGAAAGCUGGGGGAGCGAACCGGAUUAGAUACCCGGGUAGUCCCAGCCGUAAACGAUGCUAGCUAGAUGAUUCAUUCGCAAGUCGCGAAUGAAGUGUCGCAGGGAAGCCGUUAAGCUAGCCGCCUGGGGAGUACGGUCGCAAGACUGAAACUUAAAGGAAUUGGCGGGGGAGCA